GAUGAACGCUGGCGGCGUGCCUAAUACAUGCAAGUCGAACGCACAGCGAAAGGUGCUUGCACCUUUCAAGUGAGUGGCGAACGGGUGAGUAACACGUGGACAACCUGCCUCAAGGCUGGGGAUAACAUUUGGAAACAGAUGCUAAUACCGAAUAAAACUUAGUGUCGCAUGACACAAAGUUAAAAGGCGCUUCGGCGUCACCUAGAGAUGGAUCCGCGGUGCAUUAGUUAGUUGGUGGGGUAAAGGCCUACCAAGACAAUGAUGCAUAGCCGAGUUGAGAGACUGAUCGGCCACAUUGGGACUGAGACACGGCCCAAACUCCUACGGGAGGCUGCAGUAGGGAAUCUUCCACAAUGGGCGAAAGCCUGAUGGAGCAACGCCGCGUGUGUGAUGAAGGCUUUCGGGUCGUAAAGCACUGUUGUAUGGGAAGAACAGCUAGAAUAGGAAAUGAUUUUAGUUUGACGGUACCAUACCAGAAAGGGACGGCUAAAUACGUGCCAGCAGCCGCGGUAAUACGUAUGUCCCGAGCGUUAUCCGGAUUUAUUGGGCGUAAAGCGAGCGCAGACGGUUUAUUAAGUCUGAUGUGAAAGCCCGGAGCUCAACUCCGGAAUGGCAUUGGAAACUGGUUAACUUGAGUGCAGUAGAGGUAAGUGGAACUCCAUGUGUAGCGGUGGAAUGCGUAGAUAUAUGGAAGAACACCAGUGGCGAGGCGGCUUACUGGACUGCAACUGACGUUGAGGCUCGAAAGUGUGGGUAGCAAACAGGAU
rnacentral:rRNA from 1 species